GUGGGAUGUUUAGUCAGAUAAGCAGCAGGGUAAAUGUUUUACAAAGUGGCUUAGGGAGAAGUAGCAAAGUCAAGUCUCGGUCUAUCUCGGUCAGGCUCCUCCAGGGUUGGAAGCCCCCAUUUGGAGAGCUGGCUGCACUGGAUCGCAUUAGAGUGAUCGACACCAUCGACGGUCAUCCGUUCUUUUUGCAAAGAAGCUUUUAUCCAGGAUCCAAGGAAUGCAGAAACAAGCUGAAGCAUUAGGCUAGAGACAAGAUGGGCAAGCAGAUGAUCACACACCCCAGAAGCCUCCACAUCGACUGCAGAGGCAUUUAAAAUGGAACGUUACAUUUUAAUCACUAUGUUUUUUCUCUAUCAACUUCAUCGAGUUUGUUCACAUUAUCUCUAUCCAUCUGGGUUGUCAUAUCAUCCAUAAAAUGGCAUGAAAAGUACAUGUUCAAAACAGGUCUUUUGUUACAAUGUGUUGGAUUACUGAAUCACAUACAGAGAGCGGUUUAAAAGAAGUCCUGGUGCGAUUGAAGAUAUUAUCAUUCAGCCCCCAGGCUCACUUUCAGGAUCCCUUUUGAUCUUCAAACAAGUCUAGGCUCUUGUCAGACGAGGAUCUAUCCAGACUGCUACCGCUUGACUUUGCCAAUUGACUCAUCAACUUAUUUUCUGAUUGGUUUCCUGACAGCUCCCCAGAUUCCUCUGACUGAUAGCUCUACUCCCUGCCCUGGGGUCAAACUGUGUGGUGCGUUGGCUCACACAGGAAGGCUGGUUUUAUUGGACGUGUUUUGUGUGCUUAGGUCAACCCUUACACACACACACACACACACACACUCUCAGUCAAUAUUUCUGCACACUGCAACGUAGACGCUAUGAAAUAUUGAUCAUGGUGCAGCGCUGGGGAAACAAAAUCGAAAGCAGACUUGGUGAUUUAUAAGUGGAAUCAUUUUCAUGAUUUAUUAUCUUUUCCACAUUCCUGCUGCCAUUGUGAGAGUCUGUCGUAAUGCAUGCUGGAGCUCUAAAGGAGGAGGGGGCCAUCUGCUGGAGGAGGGCUGAAUAACAGACCAGCAUUGAACAGAUAAGGUCUGAACUGAAUGCAAAAAAUCCAAAGAAUGUAGUGAUAUCUAAUGCGAAUGGCACCUUGCAUAAUUUUAAUAAUCAAUCUUCCUCUGAUGAAAAUGCAGACAACUGCAAGUCUUGUUGACAUCUUCCUGCACAAUGUGUUUGUGCUGCUGUAUCCUUGCCCCAAUGACACUACAACGUUCUGACUAUUCUCAUUAAUAUGUAUAUGCACUAGUUAGAUGACACAGUUCGUGUUAACAAGGCAUGCUUUCUGCUUCAGUUAUGACUUUUACAAACAACGCUAACCCUAAACAUCUAAAGAAUGACCCAGUUUGGUACGAAAGGAAUGUUCUCUUACAUCUCGCUCUGAAUUCAUCACAGCUGACACAUUUGAAGGGACGUAGGUGUUAUUCUAUCUGUCUGAAUAGUUAGAGCAAAUCAGUUAGAACUUUUCAAAUGUGUUUUUUGUUUUGCUCUGAUGCACAGUUCAAGGAAUAUAUUUUUGCUGGGAAGAGUCAUAUCUUAAAACAUUAUAAUAUUAUAUAAUAAUAUAGUAUAAUAUUACCAUUAAAAUCGACUAUGAUCCAAAAAAUAUUUAUGGAUAGCGAUGCACCGAUCAAACUUUUUAAGUCCCAAUACAGAUACAUGGCCUUUGGGUAGCAGCCUAAAAUUGACAUGAAUUACAUUUCCAGUACAUGAUGUAGAAAUAAAGAUUGAAUUGAAAUGGCUAGAUCAGCUACAUAGUCACCAAUAUCUAUCAUCUUCACUCUGCCUUCCAAUCGCUAAGUUCAACCGUCAUUUUACAGUGCUAGAAACAGAAUUUUAAAUUAAGUGUCGAUAUAUUAUUAUAUACUAUAUAUUAUAUAGUAAAUAAAGUAUAAAAGGAAAAAUACACUGAAUAUUAUGUUAUGUUCUGCAACCAAUUUUUAGAGGAGGCGGGGAGUAACAAUAGAAAUAGCUGUAAGAGAAGAAUAACGGGCAAUGAAUUGAUAAACAAACAAACAAACAUUUAUUAACACUAAAUCUAAACAUCCAUACAAGGCACAAACUCAAAACUACUUUCCCAAAAGGAGAAAUGUGACACUGAUGCUCAACCCACCACAGUAAAUCAAAAUGCCAUCAAUUGGUCACAUACAAGCUGAUAGGGGUACAUGCAAGAUAAUCCAAGGCCUCGUCUGCCUGGCUUCCUCAGCCUCUCGUUCUCAUUCUGUCAUCCAGUGGCUGCAGGCAGCAUCAUAUGAGUCACUGGAGAGAGAGAGACAACGACAACAGGAUACACACCUGUAACAUAUUAUAUCAGUAUUAUAUGUGUAUCAUUCAAUGAUUAUGAAUGAUGAUGAUGAUACAUCAUUCUGCAUUACACUUGGUUCAAGUGAAUAAGACUUUCAGGAAUAAAUACACAUUACUUGGCUCGUCUUUUACAGUGAAUGUUAAUCUAGAAAUAAACUUGGGUAAAAAGAAAAACAUUUCCCCCUAGAAAUGGCACAUUUGUGUUCCGAUUGUCAUUAAAUUGUAUACAUUUAAAAUCAUAAGAAUGGAUAAGAUAAAUAAAAUACUUGAUUGAUUGAACCAUUUUUUUUCAGUGUUAUUUUGAUG